UCUGCUCAAGCGGAGGACUUCUACAUUUCGAUUGGUUGCCGCCUAACCGCGUCAUAGCUCAUUACCAUAAAGUUGACCUGAUUUCAACUCUCCUUGACGCUCUCGCCGUCCAAGACGCGCCGCGCCGCUGCUCGCCGCCGGCUCACAUUGAAAAUGAAUGACUUCCGGUCACUUUGACGCUCUCGCCGCCGGCGGUGUGAACGCACGGUACACUACCACUGUAUCAUUCACCAGCAGGCGAUAUGCGCGAAGUGACCGGGUUUGACCAUGUAAUGACGCCCGUUGUAAAAAUCAUCAACAGCAUUCGCGCCAAAGCUAAGCAACACAGGACAUUCAAGGUGCUUUUGGAGGAGCUGUCCGCAGAAUAUGGAGACCUGUUGCUACAUACAGAGAUCCGAUGGGUCAGCAGAGGGCGGAUUUUGAAACGUUUCUUGGCACUUUUGGGUGAAAUAAAGGAGUUCAUGCAGAGAAGAGGACACCUCUCUAUUGGACGACAUUGAGUGGUUGCUUGAUCUUGCCUUUUUAACAGACGUCACAGAAAAACUGAACAAUUUGAACUGUGAGCUGCAAGGCACCGAAUCCGCCCAUGACCAGAUGCAACCCGAAGUGGCUGAGAUUGUGAUCGAUCCCAACACUUCGAGGUCUUACAGCAGAGAUGAGCUUUUGGGACAGGGUGCUUUCGGCAAGUGCUACAAGGUGACAGACCUUGUUAGCGGUGACAGCUUUGCCAUGAAGGUCAUACCUCUGUAUUCCUGUGAACUGGAAGAGGUAUGUGGUAUGGAUUGUGCUUAAUGUCAUCCAUCUUUGCUGUUCAUCUGCAUUUCCCUUAUACUUGAUUAGAUGGUGUGUUUGACAUUUCACUCAGGUGUACCAAGAAGUAGAGAUUUUGAAGAAACUGCUGCACAAGAAUGUGGUGGGCUUCUCUCACUCUUUUGAAGAUGACCAGUUCAUGUAUAUUUUCAUGGAGUUGUGCAGUAGGCAGUCCAGACACUUGGCGACAUCCUAAAAAGUCGAGGAACUUUGACUGACCCCGAAGUCUGCUAUUAUAUGCGACAGCUGAUUUCGGGGUUGAAAUACAUCCACCGCCAAGGUUAUGUCCACAGGGACAUCAAGUUGGAUCAUUUUGUUACUUAAAAAUAAAUUGAGUUAAAAAUUGGCGAUUUUGGACUGGCGACCAAGCUGGAGCCGAGGAACAAAGAAGUUUGUGGAACACCAUGCUAUAUGGCUCCAGAAGUGUGGAAACGGGAGGGAU